rnacentral:rRNA from 1 species
GCGGCAACAGCUCAAAUUUGAAAUCUGGCCCUCGGGUCCGAGUUGUAAUUUGUAGAGGAUGCUUUUGGUGCGGUGCCUUCCGAGUUCCCUGGAACGGGACGCCAUAGAGGGUGAGAGCCCCGUCUGGUUGGACACCAAGCCUCUGUAAAGCUCCUUCGACGAGUCGAGUAGUUUGGGAAUGCUGCUCUAAAUGGGAGGUAUAUGUCUUCUAAAGCUAAAUACCGGCCAGAGACCGAUAGCGCACAAGUAGAGUGAUCGAAAGAUGAAAAGCACUUUGAAAAGAGGGUUAAAUAGUACGUGAAAUUGUUGAAAGGGAAGCGCUUAUGACCAGACUUGAGCCCGGUUAAUCAUCCAGCCUUCUGGCUGGUGCACUUGGCCGGCUCAGGCCAGCAUCAGUUCGGCGCGGGGGAUAAAGGUUUCGGGAAUGUGGCUCCUCCGGGAGUGUUAUAGCCCGUUGCGUAAUACCCUGUGCUGGACUGAGGUUCGCGCAUCUGCAAGGAUGCUGGCGUAAUGGUCAUCAGCGACCCGUCUUGAAACACGGACCAAGGAGUCGUCUUCGUAUGCGAGUGUUCGGGUGUCAAACCCCUACGCGUAAUGAAAGUGAACGCAGGUGAGAGCUUCGGCGCAUCAUCGACCGAUCCUGAUGUUCUCGGAUGGAUUUGAGUAAGAGCAUACGGGGCCGGACCCGAAAGAAGGUGAACUAUGCCUGUAUAGGGUGAAGCCAGAGGAAACUCUGGUGGAGGCUCGCAGCGGUUCUGACGUGCAAAUCGAUCGUCAAAUAU